AGUCAAUAGAUACCCCGGUAGUCCAUGCCGUAAACGAUGAUUGCUAGGUGUGGGGGGUCUGACCCCUUCCGUGCCGGAGUUAAACACAAAUAAGCAAUCCACCUGGGGAGUACGGCCGCAAGGUUGAAACUCAAAGGAAUUGACGGGGGCCCGCACAAGCAGUGGAGCAUGUGGUUUAAAUUCGAAGCAACGCGAAGAACCUUACCAGGUCUUGACAUCCACCGAAUCCUGUAGAGAUACGGGAGUGCCCUUCGGGGAACGGUGAGACAGGUGGUGCAUGGUUGUCGUCAGCUCGUGUCGUGAGAUGUUGGGUUAAGUCCCGCAACGAGCGCAACCCUUGUGAAUAGUUGCUACGAAAGAGCACUCUAUUCAGACCGCCGUUGACAAAACGGAGGAAGGUGGGGAUGACGUCAAAUCAUCAUGCCCCUUAUGACCUGGGCUACACACGUACUACAAUGGUCGUCAACAGAAGGAAGCAAGACCGCGAGGUGGAGCGAACCCCUAAAAACGAUCUCAGUUCAGAUUGCAGGCUGAAACUCGCCUGC
rnacentral:rRNA from 1 species